GGAUGUGAGGGCAAUCUGGCUGUGACAUCUGUCACCCCAUUGAUCGCCAGGGUUGAUUCUGCUGAUCUGGCUGGCUAGGAGGGUGUCCCCUUCCUCCCUCACCACUCCAUGUGCAUCCCUCCAGAAGCUGCACGCUUGGUCAAAGAGGACGACCAUCCCCGAUAGAGGAGGACCAUUCUUCGGUCAAGGGUAAACAAGUAGCUGCACUCCCCUGCUAGAACCUCCAAAUAAGGUCUCAAGAAUCCCCUUAAGCCCCAUUCCAACCCAUC
rnacentral:snRNA from 1 species